UACGUAGGGGGCGAGCGUUGUCCGGAUUUACUGGGCGUAAAGGGUGAGUAGGCGGUAAUAUGUGUCAGAUGUAAAAGGCUAAGGCUUAACCAUAGUUAGCAUUUGAAACUGUAUUACUUGAGUGCAGGAGAGGUAAGUGGAAUUCCUAGUGUAGCGGUGAAAUGCGUAGAUAUUAGGAGGAACACCAGUGGCGAAGGCGACUUACUGGACUGUAACUGACGCUGAGUCACGAAAGCGUGGGUAGCAAACAGGAUUAGAUACCCUGGUAGUCCACGCCGUAAACGAUGAGUGCUAGGUGUUGGGUAGCGAUACUCAGUGCCGAAGUAAACACAAUAAGCACUCCGCCUGGGGAGUACGGUCGCAAGACUGAAACUCAAAGGAAUUGACGGGGACCCGCACAAGCAGCGGAGCAUGUGGUUUAAUUCGAAGCAACGCGAAGAACCUUACCAAGGCUUGACAUCCCCCUGACCAGUGCAGAGAUGCACUCUUCUCUUCGGAGACAAGGGUGACAGGUGGUGCAUGGUUGUCGUCAGCUCGUGUCGUGAGAUGUUGGGUUAAGUCCCGCAACGAGCGCAACCCUUAUCCUUAGUUGCCAGCAGGUAAAGCUGGGCACUCUAAGGAGACUGCCGAUGAUAAAUCGGAGGAAGGUGGGGAUGACGUCAAAUCAUCAUGCCCCUUAUGUCUUGGGCUACACACGUGCUACAAUGGUCGGUACAAAGGGAAGCGAAGUAGAGAUAUGGAGCAAAUCCCAAUAAACCGAUCCCAGUUCGGAUUGUAGGCUGCAACUCGCCUACAUGAAGUCGGAGUUGCUAGUAAUCGCGAAUCAGAACGUCGCGGUGAAUGCGUUCCCGGGUCUUGUACACACCGCCCGUCACACCAUGGAAGUUGGUAAUACCCGAAGUCGCUGAGCUAACCGCAAGGAGGCAGGCGCCGAAGGUAGGAUCAAUGACUGGGGUG
rnacentral:rRNA from 1 species